rnacentral:rRNA from 1 species
CCCUUAGAUGUUCUGGGCCGCGCGCGCGCUACACUGAUGCAUUCAACGAGCUUCUUCCUGGUCCGAGAGGAAUGGGUAACCUUUUGAAAGUGCAUCGUGAUAGGGAUAGACUAUUGCAAUUAUUGGUCUUCAACGAGGAAUUCCUAGUAGACGUAGUUCAUCAGACUGCAUCGAUUACGUCCCUGCCCUUUGUACACACCGCCCGUCGCCCCUACCGAUUGAAUGCUCAGGUGAGCCAUUCGGACUUUCAUCAUGCUGGUUUCCAGUUUUGAUGAAGGAAAGUCUUGCGAACCUUAUCAUUUAGAGGAAGGAGAAGUCGUAACA